GUGAGGAAUAUUGCGCAAUGGGGGCAACCCUGACGCAGCAACGCCGCGUGAGUGAAGAAGGCCUUCGGGUUGUAAAGCUCUGUCAGAUGGGAAGAAUAUUCAUGAGAGGACAAUGCUUAUGAAUUGACGGUACCAUCAAAGGAAGCACCGGCUAACUCCGUGCCAGCAGCCGCGGUAAGACGGAGGGUGCAAGCGUUGUUCGGAAUCACUGGGCGUAAAGCGCGUGUAGGCGGUUUUAUAAGUCGAGUGUGAAAUCCCGGGGCUUAACCUUGGAAGUGCAUUCGAGACUGUAAGGCUUGAGUACGGGAGAGGGAAGUGGAAUUCCUGGUGUAGAGGUGAAAUUCGUAGAUAUCAGGAGGAACACCGGUGGCGAAGGCGGCUUCCUGGACCGAUACUGACGCUGAGACGCGAAAGCGUGGGGAGCAAACAGGAUUAGAAACCCGUGUAGUCC
rnacentral:rRNA from 1 species